AUUGAUGGACCUUCCUUGGACAGUUGCGAAUGAUGCUUCUCUUGAUGUUGAAUUACCAAAACAGUUGAAGUAGAUGAUGAAUGGAGAUCGAAUCCAAAAGAAAUUUGUCAAAUGAUCAAGAAUUGGAAGAGAUUGAAGGAUUUUGGCUUUUGUGUUCUUGAGAGGUUUUGCAAUUUUGGAGGGAAAAGUUGUUAGAAUUUUGGUGAAUUGUGAUUAUUGAUCUGAAGUUAGUU
rnacentral:lncRNA from 1 species